rnacentral:rRNA from 1 species
AGAGUUUGAUCCUGGCUCAGAUUGAACGCUGGCGGCAGGCCUAACACAUGCAAGUCGAACGGUAACAGGAAGCAGCUUGCUGCUUUGCUGACGAGUGGCGGACGGGUGAGUAAUGUCUGGGAAACUGCCCGAUGGAGGGGGAUAACUACUGGAAACGGUAGCUAAUACCGCAUAAUGUCGCAAGACCAAAGAGGGGGACCUUCGGGCCUCUUGCCAUCGGAUGUGCCCAGAUGGGAUUAGCUUGUUGGUGAGGUAACGGCUCACCAAGGCGACGAUCCCUAGCUGGUCUGAGAGGAUGACCAGCCACACUGGAACUGAGACACGGUCCAGACUCCUACGGGAGGCAGCAGUGGGGAAUAUUGCACAAUGGGCGCAAGCCUGAUGCAGCCAUGCCGCGUGUAUGAAGAAGCCUUCGGGUUGUAAAGUACUUUCAGCGGGGAGGAAGGGGUUAAGGUUAAUAACCUUAGCCAUUGACGUUACCCGCAGAAGAAGCACCGGCUAACUCCGUGCCAGCAGCCGCGGUAAUACGGAGGGUGCAAGCGUUAAUCGGAAUUACUGGGCGUAAAGCGCACGCAGGCGGUCUGUCAAGUCGGAUGUGAAAUCCCCGGGCUCAACCUGGGAACUGCAUUCGAAACUGGCAGGCUUGAGUCUCGUAGAGGGGGGUAGAAUUCCAGGUGUAGCGGUGAAAUGCGUAGAGAUCUGGAGGAAUACCGGUGGCGAAGGCGGCCCCCUGGACGAAGACUGAC